UUUGGUUUUCAGGUUCUCCAGUCAGCAUAAGAAAUAACAAAAAUUUGUCGUUGUUUUUGGCUAGUUUUAGGUUAUGCACUCCUUUUGGGUUGAUUUGAUGUCUAAUUUUCAAAGAACUCUUGUUUUUUUUGCAAUCUGAUCGACUAUUCUAAUUUGCAGAUUCAGCAAAUAUCCAACUGAUGAACAUCAUGGCUGCCAGAGCACAUGACAGAAGAACGUGUGUUGGAAACGUGCACCGGCUUGUAACAGAAAUGGACGAAAGCAAAUUCAGAAUUUCAGUUAUUGUAUACUUGAAGAAUCGACAUUUGUUUCUUCGAGGCUUGCAUAUGUUUCCAACUAAUCCCGAUUGGAAUAAAUAACAAUAAGGUGUACAUGUAAAACUAACCAGGAUAUUAAUGAAUCCUAUUUGAGUAUGGAUGAUAUUGAACAGUUAACUGUUAAUGACAACAAAACUCUAUCAAGCAGGGCUCAUGGGGCUAUUUAGAUGAACAGUUGGGGAAGAUUUUGGGAUUCAUAUUUCCGUAAAGGAGUAUUCAUUAAUGGCAAAAUCUAGGAUAGUUUUCUAUACAAAUUAAAUGGAAUAAGUAUUGUGAAAAAAACAUAAUGGAAUUAUUCUCAAGUGUUCAAAGAGUCAGUUUUGUGCAAGUAUGGAUUUUAUUUAAUUCAUUAUUUUGAUCAUUCAGCAUUGGAGUUAUUGUCAUGUGAUGUUCAAUAUGCUUAAUUCACUGGAAUUAUUUAUACUACCAUUUAAUUCAUUAGGAUAUAUUGUGAAAAAGUGAUGGAUUUACUCCAGAAAUAGGUUCUACAAGGAUUUACAUAUUCACAGAUGAAGAGUCAUGAAAAUGAAGAAUUUUUUACUUUGUGAUAAAAGGAAUAUGAAUAAAUUAAGGGAAACCAAACAAGCAAAUAAAUCUGAACCAAAUCAACCAAAAAAUAUUCUUUUUAAUGAUUCCAUUUAAACUUAACUUUUUUAAACUGUGUAAAAUUAUAAGUUUGGUUUAUACAUUUUGUUUUCCCAGGUACAAAGCACUUUUAAUAUGCUUUCAAGGGGAAAAUAUGGGACUAAAUUAUUACGUUUAAUGCAGUGCAUAUUCAAAAGGCUUUGUCCUUUCAUAAUAUCUAUUUGCUAUAGAUGUGUAGUAUGAAUUCAUCUCUUCAAACUGAUCAACUGUUAAUGUUUUAGCUCAAUGCUAGUGUUGUUUGUAUGAAGCAAGUACAGUGUAAUACAAAAUGUUCUUACCAUCCAUUGAUUGAAUGUCUGUGUCUUGAAAUCGGUACAGUUUUGAACACCUACUUUAUCAUGAACAGGGUUUUAAAAAUUUGACUUGUAUAUGAAAACUUCUAUUAUGAUGACAUAUUAUAAGAAAUUAGUUCUUGAAUUUGUUUUAUUAUGCCAUGAUUUAUUGCUUUGUUUUCUAUCAAAAAGUUUGUGUGUACUUGUAAUUUGAAUAUAUUUUCUAUAUUAUCGUCCCUCCCUUUGCCUAUAUCAUGUAUAUCGCCUUGCUCAGUCGCUCUGUAAUUCUAGUAUCAAGGGUUUGGGAUGUGAGCAGACAUUAUCAGUAAUAAAACGAUAAAAAGAUUAUCAGGUUUUCUACGUAUAGAUAACGUAAAAUAUCAGCCGCUCAAUUCAAUGUAAAGUUUUUUGCUCGUUCGCUGAGCUAACUAGCCAAAAAAGCUUGUGGCUGAUAUUUUACGAUAUAAAUGUGUAGAAAACCCUAUAAUCUAUACAUAGUACAUUUGUAAUUACUGAAGCUACUGAUAUUAGGUCCUUUAGAUAUAAAAUAUUCAGUUUAUUGAAAACUAUAAACUUCAACUUAACUUAUUUCUAAUAUCUCUAUAAUCUGAAAAAUACUUUUCAAGGAACAGAUAGAUAUUAAACAACAAUUCUGUGGCUUUUGAUAAAUUUGAAAGUGAUUGAAAACAGUUUCGAGUGUCAUGAAUUAGAUUCACAAUGGACCCCACCAUACAUUGAUAUUUUUCAAGGGAAAAAAAAACUGCAGGGGAGAUAAUUUUACAAUAUAAUAAUGACAUGUAAUCAUUAUCUUUAGACUGGGCAACACACAAAUAAGAUUAUGUCUUUUUUAUUUCAUGUUUUCAACCUUUUUUACAAAAUUUUCACUCAUCUAAACAAUAAAAAAGAUAGUUCAAUAACCAUGAUAACUAUGGAAACAAAUGUUUAGAACAAAUUACUUAUACCUUGUCAUUAUAAUGAAAGUUGAUUCCCCCAAGUCAAUACCAACAAUGUAUUAGUUUGUGAUUAGGUCAGUAUAAAAUGGAACCGUUGGUGGUAGGGCAAUGUUGUUUGGUAUGCAGUUGAAUUAGCAUUGGCAUUUCUCUCUUUCACUGAGGUAAUUUGGCAAUGCACUUUCAGUCAUGGGUCAUUGACUUUGAAUGUUUUGCAUAGUUAACAUGUUAUUAAAGUAUUGCCAUUUUUAAUUUCAACAUUUGCAUUAUACUAUCAAAAUAACAUAAACUUAAAAGGCAAGACAUAUCUCUGUGUCAACAGUUUAUAUAAACUAAUGUUCCUUAUAACUAGGUGCUCAAAUUACAUCUGCCUCUUAUCGAAACAGAAGUCAAUGACUGGAAUUGGAUGGUAAAAAAUAAGAUUUAUUACACUGCACUUGCUUCAUAAACUAGUAACAACCUUUUUUUUUAGCAAAAGACCAAAAUUUUUCAACAUAUUUGAAGAGAGGAAUUCAAACUGCAGUUUAGAAAGACACUGGCCAUGGCCAAUUGGAAUAUUGAAAGGACAAACCUUUUUGAAUUCACAUUUUUUUGUUCCUAAGUUCUUAGGCACUGGAUAUUGCGCAUCAGUCAGUAUUAAUAAACCAAAUCUGCAUCAACAAUAUGUCCAUGAUUGAAGAAUUUUUAUUCAACCCUUGAAAGUGUUAUUCAAAUUGUGAAAUUAAAGUGGUGGAACAACAUACAAUGUAACAAAAAAUUAAAACUUCAUAAUAGACCAAAGACUUAUAGAUUUUACAACAUUACCCACAAGUAUGAAAUAUACAUAGACACACAUUACACCUCAUCUUGAUUGGUGAAUUGCAACAGAAAAAAUACAUGUAGUUUAAGUAAAACUUAGCACUAUUUGGUCUAUGUAUUUCAACUGUAUAUAGUAAAUGUGUCUAUUAUAGUCUCUCAGUACAGACACUUGUACUGUCUGUGUACUUCAGUGAUAUGUGAUAAUAGACAUGGGUCACAGACACUCACAGUAGCGACAGUCAUGACAGUACUGUCCGUCUGCUACAGUGUCCUGUGUUUUUCUACAAUGGUAAUAGUCACAAAACUGUCAAUUUACUAGUGUCACAUGAUUUUAAACAUUGUUCAGUCACAUUUAUCUAUUACACUAAGUACUUUAGAGGUGUACUGAUUGAUUAUUUAAUCUGUGGAAACAUGACUUAUUUAUAAGUUAAAAGUAGGUUUUGAACUACCAAAUGUAGCUUCCUGUAACUACCAGUACUUUUAUCAUUUUGUUUUUGUGCUUUGUACCAAACAUUUAGUCCAGCCCUUUUCAACUGAUUUUUCAGUUAGUUCUAUUGUGCUGUUACACCACUGUCCCAGGUUAUGCUGAGGGCAAUCUGUUCACAAAAUAUGUUCAACCCUUCCACAUUCUGUAUGUGAGUGUCCCAAGUCUGGAACCUGAAGUUGUAAUUUUGUUAAUUAUUAUUUGCUUAGAUCAGGCUGUAACAGAUAGUUAUAUUUUCUUUUUUGAAUAGUUAUUUUUUUGUUAUCCAAGGAUCUUUUUGUAGCUUCUGUAUGGUUAGGGUUUUUUUCAUCUGAGACAUAGGGAUUACAAUCCAGCAACAUUGUACACAUUUUGUAUAUAAAGUUUUGUAUUUCAGAAGAAAUAAGACCUACAUGACCUAGAUGCUUCAUACCUUGUAUGCAGAUGCCUUAUGCUACAAAGUUUUCAUCUGUAAUUUAUCCAUUGUCCUUGACCUCAUUUUCAUGGUUUAGUGACUGCUUGAAACUAUAAGCAAAAGAGCCACUAUAUUUGGUGUAUGGAAUGAUUGUAAGGUGUACAUGCCUGACUGGCAGGUUUCGUCUGACCUUGACCUCAUUUUCAUGGUUCAUUGGACACUGUUUAGUUUUGUGAUUUGGUCUGUUUCUCAGGUACUAUAAGCAUAUGGAAAAGGACCACUAUAUUUGGUGCAUUAAUUGAUUAAAGUGUACAGGUCUAUCUGGCAUCUGACCUUGGCCUUAUUUUCAUAAAUUAUCAAAGUUAAGUUUAUUAGGCACUUGUAGUAAAAUCUUCAUAUUUAAUACUUUCAGCAUAAAUUCAAUCAUAAGUAAAACAGGUUGAGACAUUCCAGUGUGUGCACUCUGGUUUUAGAUUAGUACUGUCUGUAUGUGAUUGUAGACAAUGGUAACAAUCAUAGUACAAAUGUACUGGUCAUCUACUACAGCAGUUUGUGAUAGGCUUUAGUACUGUCUGUCUUCUACAGUGUCAUGUGAUUGUAGACAAAGGUAACAAUCAUAGUACUGACCAUCUACUACAGCAGUUUGUGAUAGACUUUAGUCACAGUGCUGUCUGUCUUCUACACUGAUAUGGGAAUGAAUUUAAGCCAGUAGCACUAACCAAUUUCUGGCAAAUUUACAUAUGACUGGAAAUCUGAAACUACAAAUAAGAGGUUUCUGGAUCCUGAAAUUUGUUAUCUAGCUUCAGGUGAACAAGCUAUAUUGUGUGAUGUAUCUUCACAUUCUUUGCUCAUCAUUUCCUGUAUACCAUAUAUAUUCUUACACAUAAUGAACAUGUAUGAAAUGUGUGUCCCAUUUUUGUCAGGACCUACAAAUCACAGGUUCUUGGGGAAUUGACCCUCUUUUUCUAUACAGAUAUAUUUUUUUCAUGUUUUUUUUUUGUUUGUUGGUUUUUGAUUAAAGAAAUUUUCUUUGAUUUUUGAA